GGCAAGUAUGUCUAUUACUAGAUUUGAACAAACCAUUAAUCAAAAAUAUUAACAUCCUAGCAUCGUUUGCUCGCUUGUUUGCAGAUUAAACUUUCAUUGAUAUUUUAUCUAAAUGUAAUGACCUUACCUCGUUGAGCCUGGAUGUAAGAAAGAAGCACUUAUGAAAUGGUUUCUGAAUGAUUUCGACAAUGUUUUUGACAUUUGCGUGUGAAUGACUGUUCUCCAGCUGACCCGUUUGGAGGAGAUCCGUUCCAGCAGAGCGACCCGUUCAAAGACCCCUUCGCUAAUUCUGAUCCCUUUGGUCAGAGUUCCUCAAGUCAGUUCAAGGCCAGUCCCUUCAGCAGAAAAAUCAGCCAGGCAUCGAUGGGUCCCAAACCUAAAGACUCAGACCCAUUUGCUGCGUCAGACCCAUUCGGUAGCAACUCUUUUGGAGGGAAAGGUGGUUUCGCUGAUUUCUCUCAAUUGUCAAAGAGCUCGAGCUCAGAGCCUCAGAGCCGAAAGCCAACGUACCCGCUGCCUCCUCCCAAAAAACCCGGACCACAGAGACCAGUGCCGCCUCCUUACGGGAAGAAUUCCGCCGUCACGUAUAGCGGUUCAGGGGUUCAUAGUCAAGGGUUUGGUGGUCCAGCCGUUCGAAAGACACAAACGGACAGAGGACCCGGCUCCUCGUCCUCAACGUUACUGUCUGCUGUUAACCCGUCCUGUAGAGCUUUCGGAAGUGAGACGGAGCAGCUGGAGUGGGCCAAACGCGAGAGCCAGAGAGAGGAGGCGGAGCGAGUCCGGAGGCUCCGCCUACAGGAACAACUGGACCUGGAACUGGCUCUGGCUCUCAGUCGAGCUGAAAUGCCCAGAACAUGAAGCUGCUACGUUUUGGAUUCAAUCCUUCAACUUUCAGAUGAAGCUUUUGCUCCAAUCAUACGCUCUUCCUGAAGAUCUCUCAGGUUUGCUGUAGCGAUCACUGAACCAAUGAAGUACAACAAAACCAAAGGCCAUAGUUACAGAUCCACUUGACACAUUUGCUCAUGAACUGCACAAAAUGCUAAACCACUGAAUUAUGCUUUAUAAAGAUUAUAUACAGCUUCACCAAAUACUGUAGGACCAGUCAGUCUUAAGUCAAUUAUUGAUGCACAGAAGUAUAUAAGAAAUAUCAACCUCUAUCUGCAGCCAAUGUCGGUUUUGCAAAGCAGAUUCGACCCCAAGUGCUUCAUAUUUAAGUGUCUUUAGGACUUUUGACUAUGAUCAAAUUCAUCCAAGUCUUAACCAGACGUUUGGUUUAAUAAGAGGGAUGAAUUAUUAAAUGCAUGACAUUUAGUUGCCGUCGGUCCACUAUAUGAUCAUAUAUGAUGUCUGUAUUUACAUAUACACCUGCAUAAUCAAUGCAUUCCCAAAUCUCAUAUGGUUGAAGAUUAUGAGUUUUAUUAGAUGCAUGAAGAUCAAAUGAAGCAUAUUCUUUAUUCUUGAAGGAACCUGUUUUUAGUUGUGUUUGGCACUGUUGAGAGUGAGAUGAUGUGAGCUGUAUUUCUUGUGUUUAACCCUUUAAAGCUUGAUCAGAUCCUCUAGAUGACACCGGAUCACACAAACCAGCACCCCUGAAGGAGCUCUGCCCACUUUCAUAUGGUUUUAACCCUUUUCUAGCCUUUUCUUAAAACACAUUUUGCCUUGAAGUGAAGCCUUAUACUGUAUAUUGAGCUUGUUCUUAUUAUGUAUUCAUAUAUGUAUUGUAUCUGUGAUACUUUACCAUAAAAUUUGCAGGUUGUGGGUUGUUUAUAUGCUAGAGAAGGUCAUUCUGGUGUUUAUAUGGGUUUGAUUUUCUCUUUUAGCAUUUUGAAGAUUCUGUUGACCUUCAAUAUUUUUAUGCGUUUUGGUUCUUUUGUGGAAAAAGGUUCAAAAUGAUUUUAGUGUGCUGCUUUUCAAUGUUUUAAUAAAUGUCAAACAUAUUUAUCG
ensembl:lncRNA